rnacentral:misc_RNA from 1 species
GCUGGUUGAGCUUCCCAUGGAGGUGGAGGCAGUGAUCCACUUCCUUGAGCACCAAAAACUGGUGAGGGCGGCUGCUGAGGAACCAGACCAUUCCAGGCAGGUCCAGUGGCUUGCAUAUAUGGUGAAUGUUCAUACCGCGGCGAUCCCAUAUUUGGGGCACUUCCAUUUGGGUAAAUUCCAGCUUCUGGGGCAUGAAAAUUAUGUUGCUGUUGGAUUUGUGGAGUCGAAGAAUUUGUUAAUCCAGCCAAAUGGGCAGCCUGCACAUCGACAGCAUUAGAGGAGUUGUUACUGUCAGAAAACAUGUCCAAAAGGGCAAGUGCAUUCUGCUGAGAUGGAGUAGUAGCAGGCUGUCGCUCUCCCACAGGAACAAGAGCCAGUGAA